UUAGAUACCCCACUAUGCCUAGCCAUAAACCUAAGUAGUUACAACAACAAAACUACUCGCCAGAGGACUACUAGCAACAGCUUAAAACUCAAAGGACUUGGCGGUGCUUUAUACCCCCUAGAGGAGCCUGUUCUA
rnacentral:rRNA from 1 species